GACGAACGCUGGCGGCGUGCUUAACACAUGCAAGUCGAACGGAAAGGCCAUGCUCUUGUGGGGUGCUCGAGUGGCGAACGGGUGAGUAACACGCGAGUAACCUGCCCUUGUCUUUGGGAUAACUUCAGGAAACUGGGGCUAAUACCGGAUAGGAGCUCCUGAUGCAUGGUGGGGGUUGGAAAGUUUCGGCGGUUGGGGAUGGACUCGCGGCUUAUCAGCUUGUUGGUGGGGUAGUGGCUUACCAAGGCUUUGACGGGUAGCCGGCCUGAGAGGGUGACCGGCGACAUGGCGACUGAGAUACGGACCAGACUCCUACGGGAGGCAGAAGUGGGGAAUAUUGCACAAUGGGCGGAAGCCUGAUGCAGCAACGCCGCGUGCGGGAUGACGGCCUUCGGGUUGUAAACCGCUGUCGCCUGUGACGAAGCGUGAGUGACGGUAAUGGGUAAAGAAGCACCGGCUAACUACGUG
rnacentral:rRNA from 1 species